rfam:Gossypium arboreum cultivar AKA8401 contig_7286_7, whole genome shotgun sequence.
AGUACAUGGUGUGGGCACUUCCUUAACAUUAUCUUGAAACUCUUCUACACCUCAUAUAAGGACUCUCCUUCAUAUUGUUUAAAAUUUGUGAUUUUUUAUUAGAGCU